GCCGCGCCUAGGACGGCCAUCCGAAAACGGGGAAACCUUCGCCCCGCUGGCGCGGCACCCAACGAAGG
rnacentral:sRNA from 1 species